GAAGGGUGCAAGCGUUGUUCGGAUUUAUUGGGCGUAAAGCGCGCGCAGGCGGACGGCUAAGUCAGAUGUGAAAUCUCGGGGCUCAACCCCGAAACUGCGUCUGAAACUGGUUGUCUAGAAUAUUGGAGAGGGAAGGGGAAUAUCGCAUGUAGGGGUAAAAUCCGUAGAGAUGCGAUGGAACACCAGAGGCGAAGGCGCCUUCCUGGCCAAUUAUUGACGCUGAGGCGCGAAAGCGUGGGUAGCAAACAGGGAUUAGAUACCCUGGUAGUCCACGCCGUAAACGAUGUGCACUAGAUAUGGGAGGUAUUGACUCCUUCCGUGUCGUAGCUAACGCGUUAAGUGCACCGCCUGGGAGUACGGUCGCAAGACUA
rnacentral:rRNA from 1 species